rnacentral:tRNA from 1 species
GCCGACGUAGCUCAACGGUAGAGCGCAGCUUUCGUAAAGCUGAGGUUGAGGGUUCGAAUCUCUCCGUCGGCU